CGCAGACGUCACUGCGCGGCGUCGGUCACUAAACUAUUGCGUAGCUCUCAGCAGGGCUGAGGACGAGCGUGUUGCGCGCCCUCUAGCGCCCACUCCCGGAACUUGCGUUCGAGGCGUGGUUGUGUCAGGGGUCAAAACCGCCUAUGCUAACCAAGUCCUCUACCACUAAGCUGAACCCGAGCCUUGGCAUCUCAGGAACAUUUGUGUCAGGUACCUAAGUGCAAGCUCCACUGUCAAUAUCCCUUCGUGGCGCCUAACACACGGUAGAUGUUCUGUGUUGACAUGGAAAGAUCCAGAUGCUGCUAUUUCCAGAUGGGCAGCAAGGUGGGCUGUACCAAGAAGACCUCCUGCAGCCCUUGUUAAGUUUCCUCCCACAAGUUCGGUGUGGGGUCUUCUCGCCUGAACAUUUAAGUGUUACACCACUUUAAAUCAAAACAAACAAAGGGAUGGGAAAGGUGGCUCUUCAGAUAAAGGUACUAAUUGACAAGCUCAAGAACCUGAGUUCUAUCCCAGUACCCACAUGGUAAAAGGAAAGUUGUCCUCUGACCUCCCGAUGCUGUAGGUGUGUGCAUAUUUUUGUGAACACAUAUAUACACAUAGAAAAAAAAUAAAAAUAAAUGUAAAAAUUUGUCAAAUAAAAAAAGCACACU